rnacentral:rRNA from 1 species
GGCUUAGAGUUUGAUCAUGGCUCAGGAUGAACGCUGGCGGCGUGCUUAACACAUGCAAGUCGAGCGAAGCACUUUUGUUGAUUUCUUCGGAUUGAAGCAACUGUGACUGAGCGGCGGACGGGUGAGUAACGCGUGGGGAACCUGGCCCAUACAGGGGGAUAACAGUUAGAAAUGACUGCUAAUACCGCAUAAGCGCACGAAACCGCAUGGUUUUGUGUGAAAAACUCCGGUGGUAUGGGAUGGCCCCGCGUCUGAUUAGGUAGUUGGUGAGGUAACGGCCCACCAAGCCGACGAUCAGUAGCCGACCUGAGAGGGUGACCGGCCACAUUGGGACUGAGACACGGCCCAAACUCCUACGGGAGGCAGCAGUGGGGAAUAUUGCACAAUGGGGGAAACCCUGAUGCAGCGACGCCGCGUGAAGGAAGAAGUAUUUCGGUAUGUAAACUUCUAUCAGCAGGGAAGAAGAUGACGGUACCUGACUAAGAAGCCCCGGCUAACUACGUGCCAGCAGCCGCGGUAAUACGUAGGGGGCAAGCGUUAUCCGGAUUUACUGGGUGUAAAGGGAGCGUAGACGGAGCAGCAAGUCUGAUGUGAAAGACCGGGGCUUAACCCCGGGCUGCAUUGGAAACUGUUGAUCUUGAGUGCCGGAGGGGUAAGCG